rnacentral:rRNA from 1 species
AUUGAACGCUGGCGGCAUGCUUUACACAUGCAAGUCGAACGGUAACAGGCCUUCGGGUGCUGACGAGUGGCGAACGGGUGAGUAAUGCAUCGGAACGUACCCAGAGGUGGGGGAUAACGCAGCGAAAGCUGUGCUAAUACCGCAUGUGAUCUGAGGAUGAAAGCGGGGGACCGAGCAGCAAUGUUUGGCCUCGCGCCUUUGGAGCGGCCGAUGUUGGAUUAGCUAGUUGGUGGGGUAAAGGCCUACCAAGGCGACGAUCCGUAGCUGGUCUGAGUGGACGACCAGCCACACGGGGACUGAGCCACCGCCCAGACUCCUACGGGAGGCAGCAGUGGGGAAUUUUGGACAAUGGGCGCAAGCCUGAUCCAGCAAUGCCGCGUGCGAGAAGAAGGCCUUCGGGUUGUAAACCGCUUUUGGCAGGAACGAAACGGUGUCCGCUAAUACCGGGCGCUAAUGACGGUACCUGCAGAAUAAGCACCGGCUAACUACGUG